rnacentral:rRNA from 1 species
CCUACGGGUGGCAGCAGUGAGGAAUAUUGGUCAAUGGCCGGAAGGCUGAACCAGCCAAGCCGCGUGAAGGACGAAGGUGCCAAGCAUUGUAAACUUCUUUUGUCAAGGGACAAAAUCAGGCUCGAGAGCCUGACCGAGGGUACUUGAAGAAAAAGCAUCGGCUAACUCCGUGCCAGCAGCCGCGGUAAUCCGGAGGAUGCGAGCGUUAUCCGGAUUUAUUGGGUUUAAAGGGUGCGUAGGCGGACUGUUAAGUCAGCGGUAAAAGCCCGGGGCUCAACCCCGGCGAGCCGUGGAAACUGGCUGUCUUGAGAUGUCGAGAGGUAUGCGGAAUGCGCAGUGUAGCGGUGAAAUGCGUAGAUAUUGCGCAGAACCCCGAUUGCGAAGGCAGCCUUCCGGCGCCCUACUGACGCUGAGGCACGAAAGUGCGGGGAUCGAACAGGAUUAGAUACCCCUGUAGUC